rnacentral:rRNA from 1 species
CAGUCGCCGCGGUAAUACGUAGGUCCCGAGCGUUGUCCGGAUUUAUUGGGCGUAAAGCGAGCGCAGGCGGUUAGAUAAGUCUGAAGUUAAAGGCUGUGGCUUAACCAUAGUACGCUUUGGAAACUGUUUAACUUGAGUGCAAGAGGGGAGAGUGGAAUUCCAUGUGUAGCGGUGAAAUGCGUAGAUAUAUGGAGGAACACCGGUGGCGAAAGCGGCUCUCUGGCUUGUAACUGACGCUGAGGCUCGAAAGCGUGGGGAGCAAACAGGAUUAGAUACCCGAGUAGUCCCUGUCUCUUAUACC